rnacentral:rRNA from 1 species
AGAGUUUGAUCCUGGCUCAGGAUGAACGCUAGCUACAGGCUUAACACAUGCAAGUCGAGGGGAAACGGACAUCGAAAGCUUGCUUUUGAUGGGCGUCGACCGGCGCACGGGUGAGUAACGCGUAUCCAACCUGCCCAUCACUUGGGGAUAACCUUGCGAAAGUAAGACUAAUACCCAAUGAUAUCUCUAGAAGGCAUCUGAAAGAGAUUAAAGAUUUAUCGGUGAUGGAUGGGGAUGCGUCUGAUUAGCUUGUUGGCGGGGUAACGGCCACAAGGCGACGAUCAGUAGGGGUUCUGAGAGGAAGGUCCCCCACAUUGGAACUGAGACACGGUCCAAACUCCUACGGAGGCA